ensembl:ncRNA lncRNA:CR46221 long non-coding RNA:CR46221
GGUGCACAGUAUCUGCUGGCACGCCAUUUCAUCAUCAUCAAACGGCAGCAACAGUGGCGGCUACAACUGCGACCUGGCAAGGCGGUAUCCGUUUACCCGACAUAGCUUCCCCAGCUCCAUCUAAAUUUUCCCGGCCUGAUGAUAUUCAGGGGAUCCAAAAGAGACAGGGAGAGAGAGAGUGACUGACAGGUGGACUUUCCCCAACUUUGAAACGCACAGCAAGGAAUUUUGGCCUGCAUAUUGCAGCAGUAUCAUUGCCCGAAACGAACUACUGCCCACCUGAUCGCCUUUAAUCACCCUAGGACCAUUGCAACCUGCUUCUGAACCACUUUUCCGGAUGGAAUCUUCAAUUGCAAUCGCUACCCGAUGACUAGAAGUGAAAAACUAAACCAAACCGUAGAAGUACAAGUUGCACAGCAUUAAAAAUAAACUGUUUCUUUUAUUUAGUUUCGAUUUCUUGGAUACUUAUGAUAUAAGCCCUGGCAAUUCUGUAUUAAUAAAUAAAUUAUCAACCUGCUUUUGAAUUCUAAU